GGCCAAUGCAGGCCAGGCAGACUCAGAGCAAAGAGGAGGGGAAAAUUGUAGCUUUAGGCAGGACCUCUCAUCAGGAAUGUACUGAACACUGGUGGUCGAUGGCAUGAUGGAAAAUGAGAAAAGGACAAAUGCUCAAGAUUGCUGGGAGAUUCAUUUGACCACAGCUGAAGACCUCAUUCCAGAAUGAAUCUGACAAUCAACAGACAUGACCAGCAGCAUGGGAAUGGAUGGGCCCAUCAGCCCCAAUCGAUAGAUUAGUCCCUCAUGCAACUCUUGGACUGAGUGACCGCACCAGCCUAAGGUUACCGAGCGUCGCCCACCAUAUUCUUCCUUGGUUCCACUGUGCUGUGUGUGGCCCAUGUGCUAAUAUCCCUGAAUAUCAGAAUCCUGGAAUUUACUGGAAAUAUGCAGUAACAUUAACCUUUUGGCCAUUUUGAGGACCAAGACGCUGUGGCUUUCAGAAGCACAUACACACACUUGCGUAUGUGUGUAUGUGAAAUGUUGUGUGUGUGCGACAUGGGAUUGAUUGUGUGCACGUGAGAAGACCAGUGAAAGUUUGAUGUCCUAUUUUAACUCCAUCUUAUGCCUUUGGAAAGGUUUCUCACUGAACCUGGAACGAGGCUGGCAGAUGAGGAAGCUCCAGCCACACUUCCGUCUCCAUACAUCCUGGUACAAUGACUGCAGGCAUAUACAUCCUCUCCUGGCAUUUCCCAUGGGUGUGGGGGAUUUGCACUCAGCUCCUUGAACUUGCUCAGCCAGUGCUUCUACUCACUGAGCCAUCUUCAACCUGGGAAACUUCCCACCUUUCUGCAAGUCCAGCAAUCUAUUGAUUUUCUUCCAUGGUAAUUUCAUGGUAUUAUUUUAAAAACUGAUAUGUAGCCUACUGCAAAUGGUAGAAUCUGUCCUCUCUGAAAAAAUGCCAGUGAUUUUGGUGGACAAGAAUUUCAUAUCAAGGUUUCAUUUCAAAUGAGGUCUCCCUACCCAGUACUCUAUAUUAGCAUUUUUCUAAGUUUAUGAUUGUUAAUUUGUUUUUCUUUAGUGGGAAAUUUACAAUUGCUGAGACCUAGUCAUGGGAAAAUACAUGACACCUAGAACAUUUAUAUGCUGAAAUAUAAUUAAAAUAGAGGUAACAAAAAUAAAAAUAUUGGUUGUCAAUGGUUUCCAUGGAAAUGAUUACAUAUGCUUUAUGGCCAUACCAUCACUUCAUAGGACAGACGUUUUUAUUGUUAGAAAAGGAAUUUCCUUCCAUGAGCAUAUGUAAUACCAAACACUGAAGCCCAGAAUAAGCAAGGAGUGUCACUGACACCGUGCACCCUAUGCAGUGCGUGUCCCGGCAAGGGAAAGUUGAGGCUGCCCUGUCCAGCCCAAUAGACACUAGCCACCAAGCAAGGCAUGAGUAGACAAAAGCAAGGCAUGCUCCAAAUGACUCAUACUAUCUUUACAUAAUGAAAAAAUGUAAAACAUCCCAUUAAUAAUUUUAUAUAGCAAACACUGAAAUAUUGCUUUGGACCUGGAACAUUAACCAAAAUGUUCUUAAAAUGAUUUUCUCUCUUUGUACUUUCUACAACACGACUAUAAGAAGAUUUAAGACGGCACAUGCAGUCUGGGUUGUGUGUAUUUACACAAUACUGCUACAGAAAAAAAGAAUUCCAGAAACCUAUCUGAGCCUAUGAUAAAUGGUACCAGAGAGAGCAAUUUCUUAAAAUAUAUUUAUUAAAUGUUUCAGAAACUCCACUUAUACCCUUAAUAAGUUAUCAUUUUACAGAAACUAUACAUACUAAAAGCCAGUCUGCUGCUCGCUAAAGCUGUAAUAACUGGUUUGAUUGCUUCAACGCUGGGGAACCUAAUGACUAAACUCAAUGACUGCUGGCUAUACGACACAGCAAUCUUUUUAAUCAUGUCUCAAUUAGCUUUAGAAGUUUCUCAUUUCAGGGCUCCCAGGGGUCUCAUUGCUUGUCUUUUUCACUUGAGAUAAACAAAAUCAUCUGUCUCAUAUUCAUUUCCAAUAUUUGUUUUCUGUUGUUUUUGUUGUUGUGGUCUUAAUAAGCUGCCUUGCUGACAGAGGCAGAAGCUGGGGACAGCCUGCUGCCGGAUGUCUCAUUCUCAUAGAGCAGAAGAGAAACACCCCGAGUGCGGGAAAAGUGGGCUAGCCUUCCACUCAUCGAAACGUACAGGGAAAGAAGGACAGCAAUCACAGGGACUGGAGGAUGAGGGCGACGCAAUCAGUGACUCUUUCCGAUCUCUCGUAUGAAACUUGAUAUGCGAUCUAUUUACAAUAAGGACACCUCAAAAACAUUUAUAAUCAGCUGUCAGCAAUUAAUCACCUAUCUGAGGGAGGGGUUGGGACACAAAGAUGAAGACAAUAGAAUCUUUACUUACAUGGAGACCAUGCUCUAUGUUAAUGUCAUGAUGAAGUAUAUGUAAAAUCCUGUUUUCUGUCAAAUGUUGGUUUCUAGAAUAAACCUUUCAUUAAGAAAGAGAUGUAGAUCUAGGGCAUCAGAAUGCACAAAUGUGGCUAUUUUGCCACUUUAUGUCACUAUUACUUUUAUGUGAACAUUUGUAGUUUAUUCUAGAUUCAUAUUCUUAUCUAUAUCUAUAGUUGAUACCUAUUGCAUAUACUUCAGUAAGAACUAUACACAUGACAAAGCAUUUUUUGGCAUUUAUUUUCCUUAGCAUGCAAAAUAAUAUUGAUAUAAUUAUUAUUCCUUAGACUGUAUAUGAUAUUUGAAGUUCUAUGUAUAAAGCACACA